GAUGGGCAGAGUUUUGUUCGAAAGUGCAGUUCUAUGGCAUUUGGAAGAAGGUCCUGAAACCUCCUCUCCCCUUGGAUGUACGUGGAGUGGAUUUUACUGUCACUCUCUUCAAUGCACUUCCAUCUCUUUUUCCUUCAAAAACUACACCACCAAAGCGGCUGGGAAGUGCCAGUGAGGCUCUCCUUCAUAUCCUCAAGCCAGGUGAAGAUGCAAUGCUAUACCUGGAGAAGCGGCCUCUCUCCUCCCCAGUGCUGCUUUUUGAUGGAACAACCAGCAUUGUUGCUGUAGGAAACAUACCAGUGACCACUCUCCCCUUGGAGGAUUUCUGGGAAGGAAUGUUGGUGUUGAUGGCAUAUUACUACACCUUGCACUUAACAUACCCAAAAUGUGUUGCAACGGUCCUCUCUGUCAUACAAACUGAGGUAAUCACUGAUGCCAUCCAUGAUCAAGAUGCCACUAGUGCAUAUAAGAAAGCAAUAGCUGAGUGGAAGUCGUUCUUUGAAAAAUAGGUGAAUACCAAGCAGGAUUUUAUCAGGUCAUUUGCAGUUUGUUUAGUUUUGUAGUACGUUUGUACAACUUUGUUCCUAAUUUGCCUAGCAAUGUCCUGAGAAACGGCUUUACUUAAGAUGCUUUACAAAUGAAAGUUGUUGUUUUUUUUUCUUAGUGACACUUUACCUGAGGCAUGUAAAGUUUUAAGUCAGUAAUGCCAUUAUUUAUAACAUUGUGAGACUAUGUGACUGUCACAAAAGUUUAAGGCCAAAACUGUAAUUUUUUUUCUGUGUUUAGGCCUUUUAAAGGGUUGAUUUAGACUUUUAGGGAUUGUGCAGCAGCCCUAUUUUGUUUAAAAAAAAGGAUUUUGUUCUCAUGAGAGAAAUAAAU